GACGUAGGGCGCGAGCGUUGUCCGGAUUUAUUGGGCGUAAAGAGCUCGUAGGCGGCUUGUCGCGUCGACUGUGAAAAACCCGCGGCUCAACCGCGGGCCUGCAGCCCGAUACAGGCAGGCUAGAGUUCGGUAGGGGGAGACUGGAAUUCCUGGUGUAGCGGUGAAAUGCGCAGAUAUUAGGAGGAACACCGAUGGCGAAGGCAGGUCUCUGGGCCGAUACUGACGUGAG
rnacentral:rRNA from 1 species